AUUGAACGCUGGCGGCAGGCCUAACACAUGCAAGUCGAACGAGUGGCGGACGGGUGAGUAAUGUCUGGGAAACUGCCUGAUGGAGGGGGAUAACUACUGGAAACGGUAGCUAAUACCGCAUACAAUCCGAUGUGCCCAGAGGGGGUUAGAUAGUAGGUGGGGUAACGGCGCACAUAGGCGACGAUCCCUAGCUGGUCUGAGAGGAUGCACAUCCACACUGGAACUGAUACACGGUCCAGACUCCUACGGGAGGAAGCAGUGGGGAAUAUUGCACAAUGGGCGCAAGCCUGAUGCAGCCAUGCCGGGGGUGUGAAGAAGGCCUGCGGGGUGUAAAGCACUUUCAGCGGGGAGGCGUUACCCGCAGAAGAAGCACCGGCUAACUCCGUGCCAGCAGCCGCGGUAAUAC
rnacentral:rRNA from 1 species